rnacentral:rRNA from 1 species
UACGUAGGGCGCAAGCGUUGUCCGGAAUUAUUGGGCGUAAAGAGCUCGUAGGCGGCUUGUCGCGUCGGAUGUGAAAGCCCGGGGCUUAACCCCGGGUCUGCAUUCGAUACGGGCAGGCUAGAGUUCGGUAGGGGAGAUCGGAAUUCCUGGUGUAGCGGUGAAAUGCGCAGAUAUCAGGAGGAACACCGGUGGCGAAGGCGGGUCUCUGGGCAGUAACUGACGCUGAGGAGCGAAAGCGUGGGGAGCGAACAGG